rnacentral:lncRNA from 1 species
AUCACAUGUGAACUGGAAGGGAGCCAACAUGGAGACACAGAGAGCGCAAGGUAAACAACUUUCCAACGCCAAAAGGAUGACAUUUAAUCUCUAAAUGCUAGCUUCCCUUCUUAGCUCAUCCUUAACCCCUCUCAGCUGGCCACAGAGACCCCAGGAGCCUCACUACCUGUCCCCAUAGAGCUCCUAACCAGAUGCAACAGUGACUGCGUCACCAUUCCCCACUUUUCCCAACUACGCAGUGACAAACCUACCAGCUUUACCCCACUUCUCCCAGCCCACACCCCACCCUGGCCACUCGGCUCCCCACCAGCCUCAGAAUCCCAGGGCCAGACCUUUCAAUAAGGCAACCCCUGGGAAAAAACUGUCCCUCUGUCUUCCUUUCGGCACUUCUCACUCCCUUACCUUCCACAUAAGACCUGCACGGACAGACAGAUGGACGCUGACACCCAAACAACUUGGAGAACCAGUCUGUCUGUCCACUAGAAGGAAAUAGGGUAAAAGCUGGGAGGUCAGGUGGGAAGCAGGGGAUGGUUCACUCCUCUCACCUCUACCCUGGUCAGGCUUGAGCAGCUGACACUAGGGAAAAGAAAUUAAAGUGGGAAAAAACCCUCCCUCAGAGAAAUAAAUAGCAAAAAUCGAGAAAGAAGGUGAGAAAGACAGAGCACCCACAUACACAGAGACAGCGCCCCUGAUCCCAGCAAAUACAUACGUGGGGGAAGAAGGGGGUUACGCCAUCAAGUCCUGAAGCCCGUCGGACCACCCAUCGCCGCCUGCGCAGACCCAAAUCUUGGUCCCGCCGUAAGGUGCCGCAGUCCCGAAUGUUCCAGAAUUUGGUCCCAUCAAACCCUCCACCGUCGCCCCACAACCUCUUGCUCCCACCCCUGCCCCCCACCACCACCCCACCUCCUCCCCACGGGAACCGCCCGUGCCACCUUGCGUGUCAUCUCCUAGCCUAGGCUACCCAGAGGCCUCUGGCCCUGACAGAUCUCUGAACGCUCAGCAAGUGAGCUGGCAGAACCUGGUGCCCGGUGUUGCUAUGACUUGUUUCUUGAUUUCUCUCUCUCUCUCUGCUGCAGCACGGCUGUUGCUAGCAGACCUAUCGACGGAGCUUGCUUGCUCGCUCGCUCUCUCACUCUCUCUCUCUCUCUCUCUCUCUCUCUCUCUCUCAGCUCUGUGACGCAGAUCUAAAUUCUCCAGUCUGCUCCUUGUGUUGCAAGAGCAGAACUGCAGCUUUUCCCCUGGAGAGCCGGAGGGCAGUGCCAAGGCUGGUCAAACAAGGCAAAAAAAGUUGGGCCUACACUCUGCUUCCUUGGCCACACUUUUCAGCUCACACCCUCCCACCUCACCCCUCCUGCACCUCACUGCUCUGGGGCAUAGAGGUCCCUGUCCUUUCAGGCUCACUCCUUCCCUGAGGCCUUCUCAGGCAUAAGAGUAGCUUAACUCUUUGAGUGGCAGCCCCCAGUGCCCAGACAGGGCUGCCCUGUACUAAAUGUUGCAACAUGUUUUCUUGAGCCAUAUGGGCUUCUCCAGCCCUGAGAAAAAAUGUUCCUCACCCUGACCACUGUCCCAUUAACUCUUUGUGCCACAGACAAGUCCAGGAUUACAGUCAUAGCUGAUUUCUGUUGUUUUUUGCCUUUUUGGCCAAAAACCAGGACCUUUUUCUCCCUGGAAUUUCUUAAGGACAAAAAGCGUAAUUAAAACAUUGCCUGCCUACCCCACACAUGAGAUCCUUCUAUCAGGGCAGGAAUUUGAAAAACCAAAUUGAACUGCAGCCUGAAGAAUCCAGAGUAAAACCAGUCUGGAUAUCCAUCCUUCCUGGGCUCAAAAUUUUAGGGCCUAGGUAAAUACGUUCAAUUACUUUUCAAGUAAUUGGCCACACAGUCUCAGAGAUUUGGGUUGCUGAGUCAUUUGUUCCCAAGAAGAUCUGACAACAUGAAAAACAGCAAAACAGAGCAACAGCCAAGCCUGGACCUGAAGUGGCCAAUGACUGGGUUCUCCUCUCCAGCAUGGGCAGUCAAGCAAGAUGAGCAUCCACGAGCCGACCCCCAACCCCUCCACAAUGUUCAUGCAUGGAUGUCCACACUCCUGGAAACUCUUCCAGGAAGGGGUGGUCCACCAAUGAUCUAGAGAUGGAGUGGGGUUGUUUUUGGAUACUCACAGGUCUCCACUACAGCAAGCAAAGAGCCCCCAACAUUUUCCUGCCCCUCCCCCCAGACGCAAAAAUGCUUCCAAGAACAACUGAGAUACUAAAUCACUAGACCCUACAUACCCAGAUAGACCAAGGGAGUGUUGGGUUCCCACACUGCUACAUCCAAAGAAUGCAGAAAGGUUCCCGACAACCAGUUGUACCAUAUGAGCCUAGACUUGACCAGAAGUGAGUGAGAUAUUCAGGUCCUGGGUCAGGUAACUUAUGAAGUCUAUGACAUCAAGAACCUUGCAACUUCCAGGAAGAUGAAUGAGAAUGCGAGGCCAGGCAGCUACCUUAUCCCAUAUCUGCUUCCCAGGCAGCCUUCUUCAAGCAACUACUCUGGGCCAAAGUUUCAUCCGGCAGAAAGAAGGACCACUUGGAAGACAAGCAUGGCACUACACAGUUUUAAAAGAAGACCAGAGUAUCUGUGCCAGGCUCCCAGCAGGGGGGAAAGUGCUUCAAAUUCACACCUUCUGGGCUCCAAGGUUGAGCAUGCCAAUAAAGAAGUUACCUACUGGUCUGAUGACCAAAGGAACGUGGCCUUGAUGGCACUAAAGCAAGUCCCCCAGAAAGGUCCUCUGGUUACUUAAAUCCCAUUUGCCGUAGUUUCCUUCUCCAUGGAAGAAAAACAUGCCUAAGUUCAUGUCAGGACAUUCCUGAUUUAUCCAAGAGCCCAGGAUCAAAUAAACAAAGGGCUCUGAGCUCUGCCAGGGAGCCUCCUCCUUCAGGAGGCAGAACUAGAGGGAAGUAGGCUUGGUACAGAGCUGGCCCAUCACCCCAUGAACUUGGUGAGUGACGUGGCUGCUCACUGCCAUGGCGAUGGGGAUGUUACGGGUGGGUGGAAGUGAGAGAAGAGGCAAAUAAGUCAUGAGAGACGAAGCGAAAGCGAGGCAGGGUCACAGGAGGAACCUACAAAGCCACAGAAUUUGUACAGAGGCCGACUGUAGUCUAUGACCGCAGCAAAACUAAGCUGAGUCCCUGCAAAGAUAAGUCCCCAUCUCAGGGGUGCGGCAUGAACCAACUAUGACUCGCAAAAACCUAUGACAACACUACGUUCAGCAAGGCUUUGUUUCCUUUCAUUUUCCCUCUAAAUCUUUUCCUUCCCAUGACCCCGUUGGUACGGCUUUGAUGACUGGAAGAACACUAGGGUUUUCGGUUUUGCUCCGGUUUGAAUAAAAUGACACAGACAUACAUGGAGUGGUUUUAAAGAGUGGAGAAUUUAAUAGGCAAGAAAGAAGGAAGAGGCUUUUCCUGUACAGAGACAGAGGGGGGCUUUAAGCCGAAAGAGGGAACCUUGAGUGCGGUGGAAAACAGCCAGUUAUAUGAGGAGGCUGGAGGAGGCAGGAUUAAAACAGUCAUUUUAGGUACCUCUGCCCAAUUCUAGGUCUUCCUUCUAUUAACCUGAUUCUACAAGGCACCAAGAACAAAAAAACCCGAAUGGGAUGACCAGGAAGCAGAAAUGAAUUCAGUUCCAAAAACAUGGGAGGAUGUUUACUUAGCAAGCACGCUCGAGCCUACAAGGAAGCAGUUUUACAGGGUGCUGCAUGCAGUGUUUGAUUUCAGGGGGUAAAGAUAACUUCAGAGUGGGGAAAAGGUGCUGGCUCCUUCUACUCACCCUCAGAGGCUUGGGGAGGCCAGGCCAGCACAAACUUGAAAAGGCAAGGCUUCAGCUCAAGCCCAACAGGUUGCCGGCUCUCUUUGGCUCCUCGGCAGCUACCGGACUCAGGAACUAAACAAACUCUCCAGACUUCAUGAGCAUUCCGUGGCCUCCGACUGAUCUGGGUCAAAACUUCGAAAUGCCAAAGACAAAGAAUUUUUUUCUUUAAAGGGGAAUGAGCUGAACUUUGACCCGCCCUUGUUCAGGGUGUGGAAUGCAAGCACUGUGUACCGGCCACAAACUCCAGUUCGGCAGGCAACAGCCAGAAAAGCAGUCUUCAUGCCGGCUUCAUGCCGGCCUCCCUGUCCUGUUUCCUCUUUAGGGCCAACUCGACGGGGUCUAGGUCUUUACCUCGCUCUCCAGACAGGGAAGCUGUGCAGAGGACACAUUCCAAUCUCUGUUAUCUAGAGCUAGAGUGGAUGUUCUAGAUAAAUCUGGCAGCGAUCUGGUCUCAGGUGGAACUGACAGGCCCAGUCCACAGCAAGAUGGCAUUUCUGUUCACUCCCUGGGAGCUGGUGGACAACAGGCGCUUGGUUACCACCUGAGGUAAAUCAUUUAUUAAGUACCUACUAAGUGCUAAGCCAAGAUACAGCACAGGAAAAGCAUCAGAAACAGUCCAUCAUGGAGAACACACACAUUCCAGCUGAGGCUAAGUAUUCCCAAAUUUGCAUUGCUGAUAUUUAAAACAUCUGCUUACUUUAAAAGCUGAGAUCCACUUUUGCAAUGAAAUAAUAUCAAACAUACUGCUUGGUUCCCAGGCUAGCUCACAAAAGCCCAUUUUAUCCACUCCAGGAAGUCAUCAACUCCAGUGUCUUCAGGGGCCAUGCAGGUAAUGAAGGAGUACAGUGGCCUGGGGAGGGGAUGUGCCCAGUGGAAGGACCGUGCCACUCCUGAUGGGCCACCCUCCUGGCUCUGCCUGCUGGGGACCAUCUGGGAACAGAGACCCAAAGAGUCCAGAUCAUCCAGGUUUUCAGGGCAAGGCGGAAAACUAGCUUUAUGUUAAACUCCUGAUUUUUUUUUUAACACUGUCCAGAUAUUUUAAUGGUCAGAACAUACCUAUAGAGCUUCCAGUUUGUUCUCCUGGUUGUAAUGUGUCUAAAAUACAAUACGUUUGUAAUAAAAAAAAAAAAAAAAAAGAGCAAGCAUUGCCAGAGUGAGGAAUUAAAUAAAAUAAAGAACAUACCCAAAGAGGAAAACUUUACCUCACACAUCUGCCAUUUGAGGAAAAUAAUAAGCAUAGAGGAAAAUGAGGAAAAUUUAAAACUUCCCUGAGGGCUGCAGGUGGAGAGGUGUAUCGAAAUGACUUCCAAGUAUACGUGAUUUAACUGAAGUAGUAAUAAUAUGUGUGCAUCCUGACCUGCCAGCUAGGCAGAAAAGUCAUGCUGAUAUACUGGCUCUGUCUCCCAGUUGAGAGCGCUUCUCUGGACAUCCACAAAACGUCCAUCCAGGGCUUUGGUGAUAAGAUUGGAAGGGCUUAUCAUAAUCCAGCUGCCCAUUCAAGACACAGUACCCUCCACAAACACCACCGUGACCAAGUCAUGGUCUAGCCCCAACUUGAUUCAAUAACUCCCACCACACCUUUGGAGGGUUCAGACAAGUGGAACACAACUGAGAUGAAAUCUCUCUGCAGGGAAAUAUUAGCCUUCAGGUCUCCACUCUGCCUCUGGAGCCCCAGAGAACAAGCCUACUCCCCCAAAGACUUGGAGACACUUUAGGAUGGUUUUUACAACCAGAAGUUUUUAGGCUAAACAAGAAGGUACAAAAAGGGAAAUUAAAAAGGAAGGGCGGGGGGAAGAAGCCAGAGAGAAAUAUUCUCGAAAUAACUGAUCAAAAGUUAACAAGCCAAAGGAAAAGAGGAAGAGACACAGGCAUUCAUGAGACAGGAGCCUCUUGUGGCCAAACCAAUAGCAAGUGAAGAAGCACAUGGGAAAGGAAGGGCCCACAGUCCAUACACAAAAGAAAAUGCCAAGAGCCACCAGAUCAGACAGUUCCCAAGGCCAGCCACCAGGCUGUGCCAGUGAUCCAGGACAUACUGGUUAGAACCUUGCACUGGGAGAAGAAAACUGCAUACAACUCACAAUUGUUCAGUAUGGAACUUUUUUCUGUCCAGGGGGAAGGGUUUCUUUUACUGAUGGAUUUGUUGGAGUUAUUUAUAUAUUCUGGAUAUGAAUCCACUUGCCAGGUAUAGGUACUGAGUAUAUCUUCUCCUCUCUGCUUGGCUUCACUCUCUUUUAUUGAUGUCAUUUGAUAAUCAGAAGCUCCUCAUUUUAAUGACAUCCAACUUAUCAGUCUUCUCCCUUAGAGUUAGUGCUUUCUGUGUCUUCUUUAAGAAAUGUAUGGCUACCCCAAAGUUAUAAAGAUAUUCUAUGCUAUCUUGUAGAUGAAGUUUUGUUUUAAUUUUCACAUUUAGAUUGAUGAUCGCUUUGGAAUUUAUUUUUGUAUAUGAUCAAGAUUCAUUUCUUUCCUGUGGAUAUCCAGUUGAACCAGCACUGUUUAUUAAAAUAACCAUCCAUUCCCCACUGCCCAGCAGUGCCUUCUUCAUCAUAAAUCAGGUGUCCAGAUACAUAUAGGUCUGUUUCUGAGCUCCCUGUUCCAUUUCUUUGGUAGAAAUAAGACAAACAAAUAGGUCUGCUAUUACGGUGUAGAUCACUAAUUGUAAAUCUGGUCAUUUUAACAUGUUUACAAGUAAGGUUUAGGAAAAUACACUGAGGGGCCAAUUGUGAGAAGCCAGCUUGAUGUGGACAUGCAUAGUCUGAGAAGAGAACUCCAGCCUGGGCUUCUGAGAAUGAAUAGGAUGAGCAAGAACUGGUAAAGAAAUAGCAUCACUAGCUAAGGAAGGGGACAGCAAGAAGAAAAGCACAGAAAAAUAAAAAUCAGCCUUAUUUUUUUGUGGAGAGCAACAUAGUGAUUAAGAGUACAGACUCACACAGUUUAGGAGACAGCUUGCAUCCAAAUCCCCUAAUACUAUUUAGCUGUGUCACCUUGGGCAAGUUACCUUGGCCUUUCUGGCCUCAGUUUCCUAAUCAGCAAAAUGGGGGUAAUCUUCCUCAUUGAGCUAUAAGAUUAAAUGGGUUAACUAAUGCAUAUCUUUUAGUACAGAGCUUACCACUGCAAGCAUUCAUUCAAAAAAUGCUGUGUGCUAUCAUCAUCAUUAGUGACACCAUGGAGAACAGCUGGACUGUCAGAGCAAUCUUGCCAUUCAACCAACAUUUAUAGAGUACUUAACUACCAAACAAAAAUAUUACAUUUAGUGGUUAAAAACUCUAACUCUAAAAUGAGAUAGAUUUGAAUCUGAAUUCUAGUGCAGCCUCUUGACUAAUUAUAUAAACUUGAACAACUUACUUAACCUUUCUAAGUUUCUAGUUUCAGCUUCAUCUAUACUUCAUUGGGAUUUUCUUGGAGAGGAUGUGAGAUACAGAAGUAAUGCAGCACAAGGCCCAACACAGAAUAAGUGCUCAAUUAAUCCCAGCUAUCACUAUGAUGAUGAGAAUGACAACAAUGGUGACAUAAAGAUUUUGCAUUUGGUAUAAGAAAAAGCCUACCAACACCUCAA